rnacentral:rRNA from 1 species
AUACGUAGGUGGCAAGCGUUGUCCGGAAUUAUUGGGCGUAAAGCGCGCGCAGGCGGGUUUUUAAGUCUGUCUUAAAAGUUCGGGGCUUAACCCCGUGAGGGGAUGGAAACUGGAAACCUAGAGUAUCGGAGAGGAAAGCGGAAUUCCUAGUGUAGCGGUGAAAUGCGUAGAUAUUAGGAAGAACACCAGUGGCGAAGGCGGCUUUCUGGACGAAAACUGACGCUGAGGCGCGAAAGCCAGGGGAGCAAACAGGAUUAGAUACCCUGGUAGUCCACGCCGUAAACGAUGGGUACUAGGUGUAGGAGGGAUCGACUCCUCCUGUGCCGCCGUGAACACAAUAAGUACCCCGCCUGGGGAGUACGGUCGCAAGAUUAAA